rnacentral:lncRNA from 1 species
UUGUAGAUUCAAGUAGAGGGAGGGGUAAUUUCGAUAGUUAAGUUUCUAUAUUGCAUGCGUUACAAUAGGUUAUAGGAGUUGAUUCAAUCCUCCCCAUACCCUCCCACAUCACUCUUAAACAAUAAUUAAAUCUUACCUAACUUAAUUAAAAUAAUCUAAAAUAAUCAAAUUAAAUCUCAUAAAAUCAUAAAAUAAUCUUCUCUCUUCAUCCAAAUCUCCAUGUGAUCUUUUCCACUAAUAUUUGAGUUGAAGUCUUGAUGAAUAUUUAGCAUGUAGAACAAAUGGGUCCUCAUAUUCCACCUUCCUCAUGCAUGUGGCUUGGAAACUCCUCU